rnacentral:rRNA from 1 species
CCUACGGGUGGCAGCAGUGGGGAAUAUUGGACAAUGGGGGGAACCCUGAUCCAGCCAUGCCGCGUGUGUGAAGAAGGCCCUCGGGUUGUAAAGCACUUUCAGUGAUGAAGAACGCCUGGUGGUUAAUACCCAUCAGGAAAGACAUCACUCACAGAAGAAGCACCGGCUAACUCCGUGCCAGCAGCCGCGGUAAUACGGAGGGUGCGAGCGUUAAUCGGAAUUACUGGGCGUAAAGCGCGCGUAGGUGGCUUGAUAAGCCGGUUGUGAAAGCCCCGGGCUCAACCUGGGAACGGCAUCCGGAACUGUCAAGCUAGAGUGCAGGAGAGGAAGGUAGAAUUCCCGGUGUAGCGGUGAAAUGCGUAGAGAUCGGGAGGAAUACCAGUGGCGAAGGCGGCCUUCUGGACUGACACUGACACUGAGGUGCGAAAGCGUGGGUAGCAAACAGGAUUAGAUACCCCUGUAGUC